GACGAACGCUGGCGGCGUGCCUAAUACAUGCAAGUUGAGCGCUGAAGGUUGGUACUUGUACCCACUGGAUGAGCAGCGAACGGGUGAGUAACGCGUGGGUAAUCUGCCUUUGAGCGGGGGACAACAUUUGGAAACGAAUGCUAAUACCGCAUAAAAACUUUAAACACAAGUUUUAAGUUUGAAAGAUGCAAUUGCAUCACUCAAAGAUGAUCCCGCGUUGUAUUAGCUAGUUGGUGAGGUAAAGGCUCACCAAGGCGAUGAUACAUAGCCGACCUGAGAGGGUGGUCGGCCACAUUGGGACUGAGACACGGCCCAAACUCCUACGGGAGGCAGCAGUAGGGAAUCUUCGGCAAUGGACGAAAGUCUGACCGAGCAACGCCGCGUGAGGGAAGAAGGGUUUCGGAUCGUAAAACUCUGUUGGUAGAGAAGAACGUUGGGGAGAGUGGAAAGCUCAUCAAGUGACGGUAACUACCCAGAAAGGGACGGCUAACUACGUG
rnacentral:rRNA from 1 species